CCUACGGGUGGCAGCAGUGAGGAAUAUUGGUCAAUGGACGAGAGUCUGAACCAGCCAAGUAGCGUGAAGGAUGACUGCCCUAUGGGUUGUAAACUUCUUUUAUAAAGGAAUAAAACGAGGCACGUGUGCCUUUUUGCAUGUACUUUAUGAAUAAGGAUCGGCUAACUCCGUGCCAGCAGCCGCGGUAAUACGGAGGAUCCGAGCGUUAUCCGGAUUUAUUGGGUUUAAAGGGAGCGUAGAUGGGUUGUUAAGUCAGUUGUGAAAGUUUGCGGCUUAACCGUAAAAUUGCAAUUGAUACUGGCAGUCGUGAGUACAGUUGAGGUAGGCGGAAUUCGUGGUGUAGCGGUGAAAUGCUUAGAGAUCACGAAGAACCCCGAUUGCGAAGGCAGCUUACUAAACUGUGACUGACAUUGAGGCUCGAAAGUGUGGGUAUCAAACAGGAUUAGAUACCCGUGUAGUC
rnacentral:rRNA from 1 species